rnacentral:rRNA from 1 species
UACGUAGGGUGCAAGCGUUGUCCGGAAUUAUUGGGCGUAAAGAGCUCGUAGGCGGUCUGUCGCGUCUGCUGUGAAAACUCGGGGCUUAACCCCGGGCCUGCAGUGGGUACGGGCAGACUAGAGUGCGGUAGGGGAGACUGGAAUUCCUGGUGUAGCGGUGAAAUGCGCAGAUAUCCGGAGGAACACCGGUGGCGAAGGCGGGUCGCUGGGCCGUAACUGACGCUGAGGAGCGAAAGCGUGGGGAGCGAACAGG